GCGUUAAUCGGAAUUACUGGGCGUAAAGCGUGCGCAGGCGGUUAUGUAAGACAGAUGUGAAAUCCCCGGGCUCAACCUGGGAACUGCAUUAGUGACUGCAUAGCUGGAGUACGGCGGAGGGGGAUGGAAUUCCGCGUGUAGCAGUGAAAUGCGUAGGUAUGCGGAGGAACACCGAUGGCGAAGGCAAUCCCCUGGGCCUGUACUGACGCUCAUGCACGAAAGCGUG
rnacentral:rRNA from 1 species